rnacentral:rRNA from 1 species
UGUACACACCGCCCGUCAACACCAUGGAAAGUGGAUUGCACCAGAAGUAGAUAGUUCUAACCUUCGGGAGGGCGUUUUACCACGGUGUGCUUCAUGACUGGGGUGAAGUCGUAAACAAGGUAGCCGUAGGGGAACCUGUGGCUGGAUCACCUCCUU